rnacentral:rRNA from 1 species
AUUGAACGCUGGCGGCAGGCCUAACACAUGCAAGUCGAACGAGUGGCGGACGGGUGAGUAAUGUCUGGGAAACUGCCUGAUGGAGGGGGAUAACUACUGGAAACGGUAGCUAAUACCGCAUACCAACGGAUGUGCACAGAUGGGAUUAGCGAGUAGGGGGGGUAAAGGCUCACCUAGGCGACGAUCACUAGCUGGUCUGAGAGGAUGACCAGCCACCCUGGAACUGAGAGACGGUCCAGACUCCUACGGGAGGCAGCAGUGGGGAAUAUUGCACAAUGGGCGCAAGCCUGAUGCAGCCAUGCCGCGUGUAUGAAGAAGGCCUUCGGGUUGUAAAGUACUUUCAGCGGGGAGGCGUUACCCGCAGAAGAAGCACCGGCUAACUCCGUGCCAGCCGCCGCGGUAAUUC